UAAACCUUAAUGGCCAAGAUAUAACAAAAUUCCAGCAAUGCUUUUGUUGCACUCUGAAGGCUCAGAAAACGGUAUCAUAUAUGUAAGUCUCACUGUCCCAUGGUAACAUGUCUAAGGUUCUUAUGUUUUUUUUUUUCCUUUACACAUGCAAUCAUAUAAAAACCUUACGUUUGACAUGUUUACAAUCGCCUGAAAAAGUCUAUUGUGUGUAGCAAAUCAUAUCUAUGUCAAGUCUUAUACUUAUAAAUUUGCUUAAAUAAUUAUAACAUUGCACUUUAAAGUAAUUCACUUUUGAGAGCAAAAAAUUUAGCCAAUUUUUCUUUAGGAUACUUGAGUGCACUCAAUAAUUGUAUUCUAUUAAGUUUGUAAAACAUAUUUUUAAGCACGAGAGUAAGAGACCUAUGUAAAAUCAACUAGAUUGUUGCAAUUAGAUCAAGAGGAAGAGGACUUUCAUGGCCUCACUUAAAGCUAAAAGUAGGUUAAGAGAUUCAACCUAGCUUAUGGAUGACACAUACUUACCAACUAAAAAAUUAUAUCAGAUAAACUAAUUUUAUGAAUGAGUUGUGGAAAACGGAAUGAUGUGUGUGAUAAGUAUAUUUUAGUACUUAUCAAAUUAGCAACUCACGUGUAGUAUACUUAAAUGAACACCUAAAAGCAUAGAUUAUGCGCAUUAGCAAAUCUAAAUGAGCAAGGUUUUAUCGGAAAAACAUUAAAAACAGUUUUAAGAUUGUUUUUUUCAAAGUUUAUAUAUACCAGGGAGUACCAUCCAACCCUACCCGUGAAGAAAACCUGCCUACAAUGGAUCCAGUCAAUGCAUGGUCUGACCGUGGAUCGAUCAUUAAUCUCAUUUCACUUUAGCUUUCAAAAACCUAUCAAGCAUGAUGUCGGGGAUGAACAUUGCAACUUCUUUUAAAAAAAAAUACCCUUUACAGGUGGAUGACCAAAGUAUUUGAUUUCAGUUUCAUAUAUUCUUACGUUUUAUACGACAUAUAUUGAUGAGUUAAGAGUUUUAACAAACAUUUUAAACAUCUUUGUAAAAUUUUACUCAAAUACAAAUAUGAAAGUUCUAUGUCUUAUAACACAUUUCACAACAAUUUGGAUCCAAAAUAAUACUCAUAUAGGGAAUAUCUGACUCCUGGAACUAGUAGAUUCCACAUGAUAGGGCUUUUUAUUAGGGAAACACAUUUCUAAAAAACUUAUCAUUUUUAAAUUACGAAAAUAGUAAUUAACUUUGUGUGAUUAUCUAUCUUUAUGAUGUCAUGGAAAGUGGCCCAUAAUACUAAUCCUGGCGUAAUAAUAUUCACAAAUCACUAUAUGAGAUUAAUAAACUUUGGUUACAUGUGAGAACUGCAUAAAUUGUGUUAUGUCUAUUUAGAAACAAGUUUCACAACAAUAUACAUAUGAACACUAGUACAGAAAUGAUCAAAUGAUGCGGUUAAAUUGGCUAUGAGAUGCGGUUCUAGACCCGCAUCUUAUGGCAAAGCAUCUUAUGGCUAUAAGCCAAAAGAUGCGGGUCCAAGAGAUGCGGUUAUAGACCCGCAUCUUUUGACAAAUUAAGCAAAAACUACUUUUUCUCAAUAUAUUCAAGAGAUGCGGUUAUAGAACCGCAUCUCUUGAUGUUUAAGCUAAAAAAUAUAUUUUUCUUUUUUGGUUUAGUUUCUAGGAAAUUUUAUUAAAUUUACCAAUAAAUUUCCAUUAAAAACAAAUUAUCUAAAAAUGAAAAUAAAAUUUACAAAAACAAAAUUAAACUAAAACCAAUAUAAAAUAACCCAAGAAUGUAAAUUACAAAGGAUUUAAAGUAAAACAAAAUUACAAAAGUUUCAAUAACACAAAUACAUAUAUCUCUACAUAUGAAAGUGAUAUACAAUAACUUCAUGAACCAAUGUCUUGACGUCUUCAAUUCAUACUUGCAAUCGGAACCGUAGAAAUUGCCUAACAAAACAAAACAAAACGUUAAAUUAAUAAAAUGAAAGUUAAAAUGCAAUCUUUAAAUUCAAAUGUUAAAAAAUUAUCAUACAUGCAUACACAUAAGACAUGUAGUUCCAAAUCUACCCUACGUAUGCACAUAAGACAUGAAGAUUCAAAUCCAUGACCUACAAGUCCAACAAUACUACAAUCGACCAAUAUAUCUAUCAAAUCACAAAUCAUAAAUAUGGGGAUUGUAGGCUAUGGCCUCAAUUAUGUUAUUAUGUUGCAAUUCCUAAUUAAAAAAAAACACCAUUUUACUCUUUCCACUGUCACAUUCUUAGCAAAGCACCAUACAGAAUGAUCACAAUAUGAUAAAAUAAUUGCACCUAAAGUUAUGUGCAAGAACGACUACAAUAUGAUAAAAUGGUUAAUAAUUUAAAUGUAUGAUUAUGUUGGAACAAACCUAAGUUAUUUUAGGCUUCUGCAUAAGUAGGAUUCACCACAAUCUCUAUCUUUAUCAUGCUAGCAGCAACAUCCAUUUUGCCCUAUAUAUUAAUCUACAAUUCUAAAAGCGAUAAGGACUCCAACGUUGUUCAACAAUUGUGAGACACUUGGAUUAUUUGACGAAGCCAACACCAAAAGAACAAAAAUCUAUCAG
rnacentral:lncRNA from 1 species